GGGGAUGUAUUUGGUUUCGACAGCAAUCUAGAAACACCAAUAGCGAGUAGUGGAUUCUCGUUGGCCACUUAAAAAAACGGGAAAUUAAAUAUAAACGCUGAUAAUAGAGAAUUAGCAUACGCUGCCUAAGAAUUGCAGUGAUAUCUUACCUUUUGUGCCCACGCUUUAGGAUAAGGUGACGAAUGAGUGGGAAACGAAUCUAUCUGAUGUCAUAGGAUAGAGGGUAAUGAUGACUACUGAUUUGUAAAGUUUGUUUAUUAACGAUACAAAGAGGGAAUGAAAAAUAAUAAACUGCACUCGGAGAAGUUGAUGUGGAAGGGUUGUUGGACAGGAGUUCGACUCUCCUCAUCUCCACCA
rnacentral:tmRNA from 1 species